CCCUCCGUGGCGCAAAAGGCUAGCGCGUUCGGCUCCUAACCGAAAGGUUGGUGGUUUGAGUCCACCUGCAGACG